UGUUUCAGAGAAAUCUCAGGAAACUGUCAGCUGAAAACUCAUGGUUAUUUGCUAUCUCAUCCAUUUAUUGAUAAGGUCAGAAGUAAAACCUUGGAACAGUAAGAGCUGAUGUGAUUUUGGUGGGGGGAGGAGGAGCAGCAUUAGAGGAUAAGAGGUGAUGUUGGUCUCCUGGAAUAGGACCCCAGGAGGCCGGUGGGUGGCAGCUUCAGGGCCAGGGCAGUGGAUGUGAUUUCUGAGGUUGGUGGGAGACUGCGAGGCUCACUGGCGGGCAGCCCUCUGGAUGGCUGUGGGGAUCAGGCAGGUCUGGGGCCUCCUUCCAGGGGACCUGGGCUUUUCAGUCAAUGGCUAUGCUACAAAGCAUGCUCAAAGAGAGGACCGUCACCAGGACCAGCAUGCAGAUCACAAAGCAACCGAGAAGAAAAUUUUGCUACAAAAUUUCUGCUGCAGGAGAGAGGGAAAGAGCUGAAAUGCCCCAAUCCCAUCGGCCUUUGCUCCCCCCGGGGGAAGUGCUUGUGGGGUGCCUGGGCCUCUGUGCCACCUGGGUCCUGUCUCUCCCUUCAGCUCCUCAGUGGAACCUCAAGCCGCUUCAGGCCCUUUCCUGUCUAAAACCCCACAGUUUGGAAGGAGGAGGGUGGGCCACGCGGUCCUGCCAGGGUUUCCUGAGCGUCACGGGCUCACAGCCUCACGGGUGGUGAUGGUGCCAAUUUUACAGGUGCCCACGUCAGUCUCUGCUCCCUGUGGAGCUCUGAGCCUCAAGCACAGAGCAGCUUAGAAAAAACAUCCCUGCAGGUUUCAAAAUCAGGGCACCGCACCGUGGGCCGAGAGUGUUCAGGACAGCAGGUGGCGCUGUCUCUCCUGGAACAGGCUGCCGUCCGCUCCUGCACAGGGAGGCCUGCAGGAUGGUCUCUGCAGUCUGCAAGCCUCCAAAGUGACCAGGACAAAACAUCAGGUCAGGACUGCCUGCCAGGUGGAACUGUCCCCUCACCUGAACGCACCAGGAGCCUUCAGCUAGGCCUGGGCUGCAGCAGUGACCAAAGAGAGAGCUGGGGAGAAACAGUGGACUAGAGCAGAACAGAGCAAGCCCACGGAACCCCUUUGGUUUCAGUCACAGAGGCUCGUAGUGACCACACCCACUGAAAAAGGUCAGGCCACUUCAGCCUCCUGGGAACUGGCACUUCCCCCCAGAGCGUGGGGUGGUACAGGUGCCCGCCGCCUUCGUCUAGCUGGUAGGACGCAGCGUGCCCUUCUUCACAGCCUGCAUCUUCUGGCUUCGGGGAGCAUCUUCAACACCAAAUUCCAGUGGAAAGAGAGAGGGCCAGCUCCUCCUCCCUGCCCAGGACCCAGGGCCCUGGAGACCUAGAGGUCAUCCUGUGAGCUGCUUCCCUCUGCCACACUCUUCCACCAAAAUUUCCUGCCUCACCUCGAGCCCCAAGGAAUGGAGCCUGCUGUCUAUGGACGGAGCCCUCUGAAAGUGUGCCGGGCUGGGCUCUAGGCUGGUGUCCUUCCAGAACAGAGGACAAGGAGACAUGGCACCCAUUUUGAAAGGACCCAGAACCAAUCCUAAUUUCAAGGCUGUCAGCAAGUUUCGUAUAGGCCGGGCUCACAGGACAAACAGGACCCGCCGGGAGGCUUGGAACAACACAGGCACCCUGUGAACAAGAGCAGAUUCAAGCUUGCCCGCCUGGCUCAGGGCUUUGCAAUCGAUUCAACGGCAGAGUUAAGUCUGAACCCCACAUCUUGCCUUGCUUUGAAGUGAGGAAUGCACUAAUGGGUUUCCUUCCCCACCUGGGGAGGAUACCUCCCCCUUGGUCCAGUCUAGUUUUUUCUCUGGCUGUACCUCAGACAAAGCGAGCCCAGAGCAGUGUGGGACUCCCACUUGGAGUCCGAGCCCCAGGAGCUGCUGACAGUGCUUGAGGAUUUUCCCAAUGAUGUUUUUUCACUCACACUCCAAGUUCUAGAGGGAACUGGCAGGUUCAAUAUUCAAGUCCCCAAUUUUCUCCAGACCUUGGACCCCAUUGUAUCCCACUGUCUGUGGGAGAGUCCCUCCUGGAGAACUCACAAACCCUCAAACUCAGUUCACUGUGUUUAACCCCAAAUCUUCCUCCCUUCCUGUGUGAUGCCAGGAGGGACCCCCAUGUUGCCAGGGUCUCUGUCUUACCUGCCAUUGCCCUCUGAUAUGUCACCAAAUCAGGCUGCAGUUCUGGACACCUCCUGAAUCUGUCUCAGCCUCUUCACAUCAAGUGAUGGUCACACCAAAGCCUGGGGCACGGGAGGGCAGUAUCUUACCCCCAGAGGGCCACGGCUCCCCUCAUUCCUUAACUGGAUUGGCUUUAAUGUCCCCCACAUCUAUUCUGUAAAAUGGUACCUAAAUAAUAAAUAAAAAGUUUGAAGAAUAGAGAUUGCCUGCAUUCAAGGUGUACUAUAUAGAUUUAAUAAACAUACGUGGCAUCUGUA